AGUCCUGUACGAGCCAAAUUGCAAAUUUGGCCACGCCGCGUCGCCGCGGCCAGGGCUU
rnacentral:tRNA from 1 species